GACCGCAUGGGAUAAUCUAUUAUCCCGUGCGGUCUACAUAACACGAUCACACGGGAUAAAUGAUUAUCCCGUGUGGUU
rnacentral:pre_miRNA from 11 species